UGGCGGCCNCGGGUCAAUCCCGNGGCCACGCCCGUCUGAGGGUCGGCU
rnacentral:rRNA from 1 species